rfam:Guillardia theta CCMP2712 unplaced genomic scaffold GTITHscaffold_10, whole genome shotgun sequence.
GGCAUCGUGGCCGAGUGGUCUAAGGCGGCAGCUUUAGGCGCUGCUCUCUUCGGAGGCGUGCGUUCGAACCGCACCGAUGUCA